rnacentral:rRNA from 1 species
AUUGAACGCUGGCGGAAUGCUUUACACAUGCAAGUCGAACGGCAGCAUAGGUGCUUGCACCUGAUGGCGAGUGGCGAACGGGUGAGUAAUACAUCGGAACGUGCCCAGUCGUGGGGGAUAACGUAGCGAAAGUUACGCUAAUACCGCAUACGAUCUACGGAUGAAAGCGGGGGACCGUAAGGCCUCGCGCGAUUGGAGCGGCCGAUGUCAGAUUAGGUAGUUGGUGGGGUAAAGGCCCACCAAGCCAACGAUCUGUAGCUGGUCUGAGAGGACGACCAGCCACACUGGGACUGAGACACGGCCCAGACUCCUACGGGAGGCAGCAGUGGGGAAUUUUGGACAAUGGGCGCAAGCCUGAUCCAGCCAUUCCCCGUGCAGGAUGAAGGCCUUCGGGUUGUAAACUGCUUUUGUACGGAACGAAAAGCUCUGGGUUAAUACCCCGGGGUCAUGACGGUACCGUAAGAAUAAGCACCGGCUAACUACGUGCCAGCCGCCGCAGUAA